UAAUUUAAGAGUUUGAUCCUGGCUCAGAAUGAAUGCUUGUAAUAGGCUUAAGACAUGCAAGUUGUGCGAUUUUAGCAGCGAACGGGUGAGUAACGCGUAAGAAUUUACCUAAGAGUUCGGUGAGUAAAAUAAAUAGAUUUUAAUCAAAUCCCGGAUAAAAAAAGAAAAAUCGCUCUUAGAGAAGCUUGCGUAAGAUUAGGUAGUUGGUGAGGUAAAAGCUCCACCAAGCCAAAGAUCUUUAGCUGGUUUGAAAGAACGUCCAGCCACACUGGGACUGAGACACGGCCCAGACUUUUUCGAAAGGCAGCAGUCGGGAAUCUUGGACAAUGGGCGAAAGCCUGAUCCAGCCAUAUUACGUGAAGGAAGAAGGCUUUUGUGUUGUAAACUUCUUUACAAAAUAUUUUUGUAUAAAAAGCCCCGGCAAAAUCUGUGCCAGCAGCCGCGGUAAUACAGAUGGGGCUAGUGUUAUUCGGAUUGAUUGGGCGUAAAGGGUACGUAGGCCGUUUCGUAUUGGUGUACCGUAACUAUCUUUUAUAAAAAGAAUCGCGGCUUAUAUUGAUUAAUCGAUGACAGACACCACGAGACUAGAGUGUGGUAGAGGAAAGUGGAAUUUUGAGUGGAGAGAUAAAAUUCAUAGAUAUUCAAAGGAACACCGAAAACGAAGGUAGCUUUCUUGGCCACCACUGACGCUGAUGUACGAAAGCAUGGGGAGUGAAUGGGAUUAGAUACCCCAGUAAUCCAUGCCGUCAACGAUGAGUGUUCACUCCAUGAUUUAGACUAUUGUGGGGUCUAGCUAACGCAUUAAACACUCCGCCUGGGGAGUACGGUCGCAAGGCUGAAACUCAAAGGAAUUGCCGGGGGCUCGUACAAGCGGUGGAUCAUGUGGUUUAAUUCGAAACAACGCGCAAAACCUUACCAAUCCUUGCAUACAAAUAACGAAAACUUUUUAACUAAAGAAUAUUCUAGAUUUGAACAGGUGCUGCAUGGCUGUCGUCAGCUCGUGUCGUGAGAUGUUGGGUUAAGUCCUUAAACGAGCGAAACCCCUUUUUCUGUAAAAACAGAAAGACUGCCGGUGACAAAUCGGAGGAAGGAAGGGAUGAUGUCAAGUCCUCAUGGCCCUUAUGGACUGGGCUACACACGUGAUACAGUGGCAAUCACAAUGGGAUGCAAUGAUGCAAGUCGGAGCGAACCCUUAAAAAUUAUCAGGUUCGGAUUGUUCUCUGCAACUCGAGAACAUGAAGUUGGAAUCGCCAGUAAUCGUGGAUCAGCACGCCACGGUGAACCUGUACCCGAGCCUUGGACACCUCGCCCGUCACAUUGCGGAAGUUUGUUUGGCUCGAAAAAUAACUAUAGGUUCGAAAUAUAUUUUUCUAUUAGAUACCAAUCAAAAUAAAUUAUAUAUUUUUUUCUCUACAUAGCUAUUUCACAGUAAGAUAGAUAACUGCAAUGAAGUCGUAACAUGGUUGGGGUUGGGGAACCAGUCCCAGGAGUGAAUCCUUU
rnacentral:rRNA from 1 species